rnacentral:precursor_RNA from 1 species
GCGUUGCUGUUAGUUUGUGGGUUGGUGCUGACGCUUGCUUGCGCCAACCUACUAACUGACGGGACCGUUG